AAAUAAGAAACCUGCGCGCAUAGAAGAGCGCGACUCUUCAUUUUAAUUCAGUUUUAAGGGAAAAAGGGUCUGUUUGACCGGUAUGCUUGUUCAAGAGGAGACAAUGUUAAAGAGUCAAAGAUCUCAUUGAGUUCAUCUCUUAAGUAAUCAAAAAGCUGGAAAGAGUUAUAAAAAGAAAGGUGGAAAGAGCAAGAAGAAAGAUUUACACAACAUGAAUGAAUCUUCUAAGAUCGCUCACAAGAAGGAACAUGGAAGUGUUAAAUGUCACUUCUGUGAUAAAAUCGGGCACUUAAAGAAGGAUUGCCUGAAACGUAAAACUUGGUUCGAAAAGAAAGGGAUUUCUUACGAUCCAAACUAUAAAGACAAAUGAAAGUUUCGUCUUCAUGGGCAAUCGAAAGAAAGCUUCUAUUGAAGACAUUGGCACUUAUCGUUUAAAGUUAGAUACAUGACAUUAUUUGGAUUUAUUCCAAACUCUUUAUGUACCCACAUUUUCCCGCAACUUAAUUUCGUUAUCGAAACUUGAUGUAGCGGGAUUUUAUUUUAAGUUUGGUUCUGGAUGUUUAACUUUAAUGAAGAAUAAUAAUAUUAUUGGUUCUGGAUUGUUA